AGGAGGUUAGUUCUCUAGGUGUUGGCUGGCUGGUUUCUUCUUUCUCCUCUCUUUGUCAUCUCCUUUUGGUCUUUUUACCUCUUUUUUUCAACAACAAAAUAAAAAAAAAACUGGUGAGGUUUUGAAAGACUCUUCCUCGUCUCCUUUUGGUCUUUUUACCUCUUUUUUCCAACAAAAUAUUCCAUUCCUCCCCCACCCUCUUUCAAAAUGGAGAAUCUAGGGUCUGGGUUUUAAUUUGAUUGCUAUGCUUUGGUGUGUCAAAAAAAGUGGGGAUAGCUCAGUUGGGAAAGCGUCAGGCUGAAGAACUGAAGGUCACGUGUUCGAUCUACGUUCACCGCAUUAGAUAAGAGGGGUUGCUCUGAUGGUAUGCAACUCCCACUUCCAACCGAGAGGUUGUGAGUUCGAGUUUCCCCAAGAGCAAGGAGGGAAGUUCUUGGAGGGAAGGAUGUCGGGGGUCUAUUUGGAAACAGCCUCUCUACCCAAAGGUAGGGGUAAGGUUUGCAUACAUACUGCCCUCCCCAGACAGUGGCGGAUCUACUCUUGCUAAGCACCCAUUAACCUCGACGCAGAGUAUAUAUAGUUAUAUAGAAAAUUUGAGAAAACGUAUAAAAAUUUACAAAAGCACCCAUUAAUUUUAUGUACAAAAAAAAUUCAGCACCACAAACUUGAAUUCCUAGAUCCGCCACUGUCACCAGACCCCACUAAGUGGGAUUAUACUGGGUUGUUGUUAUUGUUGUUGUUGUUGCUUUGGUGUGUCAGCUUUAAUUGUUAGGUCCUCUGUUCCACUGACCUCUCUGCUUUAGACAGUUCAAUCUGGG
rnacentral:lncRNA from 1 species